ACUAAAAGGUGAAAAAUAUAGAAAAUUGUGGUAGAUAUGCAGUCUACAGGCAUUCAUGUGGUUAUAAUGCAUAGGCAUUGAAGAAACCAGAGAAAAUGCAUGUAUUCAUUUUAAAAAAUUGCUCAAGAGAAUUUCAAGUUUGGAAAUAACCUAUACCAAAUUAGUUGAUUAUAUUGUAGAGCACAAAAAGAGACAUAGAAGGAGAUUUAUAAUUAAAGUUUUUAGUAUAAAGAUUAUAGAAGCAAAUAAAAACAUGAGCUAUCAUGUAAAACAGAAGAUAGUUUGGAAAGUAAUGGUCCAUGAUUAAGAAGCUAAGGAAAAGCACAGUGGUUUUGGCAAUGUGACUGAUACAGCAAUUCUAAAACAACCAAGAUAAAAAAUUGGACCACAUAGGAUUUCAAGGGGCUAGAGGAAACAGUUGAAACUCUAGGGUCUAGACUACAGUUGUGAGCUGCCAUUCUGGUGCUGCGAUUCAAACCAGAGUUCCCAAGAGCCACUGAUACUCGUAACUGCUGAGCCAUCUCUGACUCCCGCCUGCUUUCCUAAGUGAGAGAAGACAAGCUGGCCUCCCUCCCACAGGUCAGUUCUAGGCAU
rnacentral:lncRNA from 1 species